UAGAGUUUGAUCCUGGCUCAGAUUGAACGCUGGCGGCAUGCCUUACACAUGCAAGUCGAACGGCAGCGCGGGGCAACCUGGCGGCGAGUGGCGAACGGGUGAGUAAUAUAUCGGAACGUACCCUGGAGUGGGGGAUAACGUAGCGAAAGUUACGCUAAUACCGCAUACGAUCUAAGGAUGAAAGUGGGGGAUCGCAAGACCUCAUGCUCCUGGAGCGGCCGAUAUCUGAUUAGCUAGUUGGUGGGGUAAAGGCCUACCAAGGCAUCGAUCAGUAGCUGGUCUGAGAGGACGACCAGCCACACUGGAACUGAGACACGGUCCAGACUCCUACGGGAGGCAGCAGUGGGGAAUUUUGGACAAUGGGCGCAAGCCUGAUCCAGCAAUGCCGCGUGAGUGAAGAAGGCCUUCGGGUUGUAAAGCUCUUUUGUCAGGGAAGAAACGGUGAGGGCUAAUAUCUCUUGCUAAUGACGGUACCUGAAGAAUAAGCACCGGCUAACUACGUGCCAGCAGCCGCGGUAAUACGUAGGGUGCAAGCGUUAAUCGGAAUUACUGGGCGUAAAGCGUGCGCAGGCGGUUUUGUAAGUCUGUCGUGAAAUCCCCAGGCUCAACCUGGGAAUUGCGAUGGAGACUGCAAGGCUAGAAUCUGGCAGAGGGGGGUAGAAUUCCACGUGUAGCAGUGAAAUGCGUAGAUAUGUGGAGGAACACCGAUGGCGAAGGCAGCCCCCUGGGUCAAGAUUGACGCUCAUGCACGAAAGCGUGGGGAGCAAACAGGAUUAGAUACCCUGGUAGUCCACGCCCUAAACGAUGUCUACUAGUUGUCGGGUCUUAAUUGACUUGGUAACGCAGCUAACGCGUGAAGUAGACCGCCUGGGGAGUACGGUCGCAAGAUUAAAACUCAAAGGAAUUGACGGGGACCCGCACAAGCGGUGGAUGAUGUGGAUUAAUUCGAUGCAACGCGAAAAACCUUACCUACCCUUGACAUGGCAGGAAUCCCUGAGAGAUUGGGGAGUGCUCGAAAGAGAACCUGCACACAGGUGCUGCAUGGCUGUCGUCAGCUCGUGUCGUGAGAUGUUGGGUUAAGUCCCGCAACGAGCGCAACCCUUGUA
rnacentral:rRNA from 1 species